rnacentral:rRNA from 1 species
AUGAUUUGGCUUCUGGACGAUGUCUACGACGUGCAACACCGGGCCUACAUGAUGCGCGAGAAGGAUAAGAAGCUUGAACCUCUGAAGAUUCGGUAUCACGGGGUCUCUGGUCCUGCAAUGCCUUACGAUGAGCGGUACACACCGUACAUCAAGCAAGCAGGACUACUCCCGUGGAUUCUGUUGGUCAGCCGGUCCACGCCGAAUCUGAACGCUCCACUGGUGUCCGCUCUUGUUGAUCGGUGGAGGCCAGAGACCCACAGUUUCCAUCUUCGGACCGGGGAGAUGACCGUGACGCUCGAGGAUGUCUCGUUGAUCACCGGUCUUGCUAUCGAUGGGAGGCCUCUAUGUAUGAGCACCGAUUUUGAUGGGUGGCGCGAGCAGAUGAUUGCUCUUAUCGGUAUGGCUCCUACCGAGGCUGAGGAUGAUGUAGAGGAGGGAGAAGAGAAGAAGAAGAGGGAAAGGAAGGCAGCCGGAGCCGCUUUCACGUGGAUUCAAAAUAACUUUGCGACGUGCCCUCCGGAUGCAACUGAUGAUGUGAUCUAG